CAAUGAGGGACAUACAUACAGAUAGGAUGGUCUUCAGUAUAUCCGAAGAAUGAAGAGAAGACUGGGAGUUUAUAAAAAAGAGAAAUGUUAUGUAUUGUUUUUCCAGAAAGUUCUUUGGCAUUAGUCAAAUUUUCGGGAGGUGGCAAGCUCUCAUUGGUGAGUUAUGGCAGUAAAACCAGUCUUAGAAUUGCAGCAGGUUGUUUCAGCAGCCGUGAGAUAAAACUGGUUUCAGGUUACAGCAGGCAAUUUCAGCAUCCAGGCUUGCAGAAAAUUACAUUCUCAAAGUGCUGUUACAUUCCCUGAGUGCUUCUCCUAAUGGCUUCUUGACUCUGUUUUAGUUGGGUGUGACAAGAAUGACCCAAUUCACAUCACUUAUUGGAUAUAUGAUUUGCAAAUGUCUUUUCCUAUUGUGUAGGCUGUCUUUUCACUUUAACGGAGGGAACUCUUCAUGUAGAAGGUGACAUGUGGGAUAGCUCCUGAAAUGAAUGGCAAAAAUAGAAUAAAGCUAAAAACUACUAAAAUAAGAAUAUGCAUUAUAAUAUGUAUGAUAAACAGAUUGUGUGAUUAGGGCUGUUGCUCAACCAUCUGUGCUGUGUAUUUUUGUUUGCAGAUCUAUGAUAACUUUCUGUGUUUCAAGUGUCACUGUUUAAGCUACUCUAAAUUAAAGAAGAGCAAAUUAAAAAGGCAAAUUAAAGAAGAACAGCAAUCUCUUUCUUGCUUCCUAUAUUGAUCAAUUCCCCUGAUGAAUGGUUUGCCAAUUAUCUAUAAAUACAUUGGUAGGUAUUUAAGGAUAAGCAGACUAGAAACUGCAUUUUCUAGGGCUUAUUGGGAAUAACAUUCAGAUAAGUCAAUGUAAUGUGGAAAAUUUGCAAAACUUGCUUUCAUCUGUAAAGCUUGGAAUGCAUAGGGAUAGAAUGCACUUUUCUGUCUUAAAAGUGAAAAAGAUGGUCAUGAAGUCCUUCAAAGAAACAUGGACACACACAGACACAUUGGCUAAAAUAGCAAAGACAUACUGGAAUUCCUAGUGAUUUCACUGUGAUUCCUAAUGAUUGUGUAUGGUACACUGUGAACUAAGAUCAUAAAUUAAUGCCAAGUUAGACAAGUAAGUUUUUGACACUGGAAAUGGACAAUGUCGUUACUGUAUAAGAUAAAAAUGAAAAAAAUACUAUAAUUAGGGACUGCCAGGCAGUAAAUGAGAUGCAGUUACCUGAAAGGGGAAAUAAGAAAACAUCUUACUUCACUGUAUGCCAGUGAACGAAGUGUGAUUUAUACAGACAGUACUAAGUU
rnacentral:lncRNA from 10 species